UAGGGAAUCUUCGGCAAUGGACGGAAGUCUGACCGAGCAACGCCGCGUGCGUGAAGAAGGUUUUCGGAUCGUAAAGCUCUGUUGUUAGAGAAGAACGUUGGUAGGAGUGGAAAAUCUACCAAGUGACGGUAACUAACCAGAAAGGGACGGCUAACUACGUGCCAGCAGCCGCGGUAAUACGUAGGUCCCGAGCGUUGUCCGGAUUUAUUGGGCGUAAAGCGAGCGCAGGCGGUUCUUUAAGUCUGAAGUUAAAGGCAGUGGCUUAACCAUUGUACGCUUUGGAAACUGGAGGACUUGAGUGCAGAAGGGGGGAGUGGAAUUCCAUGUGUAGCGGUGAAAUGCGUAGAUAUAUGGAGGAACACCGGUGGCGAAAGCGGCUCUCUGGUCUGUAACUGACGCUGAGGCUCGAAAGCGUGGGGAGCAAACAGG
rnacentral:rRNA from 1 species